rnacentral:rRNA from 1 species
GAUGAACGCUGGCGGCGUGCCUAAUACAUGCAAGUCGAACGAGGUGCUUUUGUAGCAAUACGAGAGUAUCCUAGUGGCGAACGGGUGAGUAACGCGUUGGUGACCUACCCCAAAGUGUGGGAUAACAGUCCGAAAGGAUUGCUAAUACCGCAUGUGGUCUUCGGAUUUAGAAACUGAUGACUAAAGGAGCAAUUCGCUUUGGGAGGGACCUGCGUCCCAUCAGCUAGUUGGUGAGGUAAUGGCUCACCAAGGCUACGACGGGUAGGGGACCUGAGAGGGUGACCCCCCCACAAUGGAACUGAAACACGGUCCAUACACCUACGGGUGGCAGCAGUAGGGAAUAUUGCACAAUGGGCGAAAGCCUGAUGCAGCAACGCCGCGUGUGCGAUGAAGGCCUUCGGGUCGUAAAGCACUUUUCUGGGAGAUGAGCAAGGACAGUAUCUCAGGAAUAAGUCUCGGCUAACUACGUGCCAGCAGCCGCGGUAAU